rnacentral:misc_RNA from 1 species
AAGUCGUAACAAGGUCUCCGUUGGUGAACCAGCGGAGGGAUCAUUACAGAGUUGAAAAACUCCCAAACCCUUGUGAACAUACCUUUAACGUUGCUUCGGCGGGUGGCCCCCUCACAGGGGCCGCACAGCCCGCCGGAGGUAUACAAACUCUUGUAUUUUUGUUUUCUCUGAGUUGUCUUUUAAAUAAGUCAAAACUUUCAACAACGGAUCUCUUGGUUCUG